CCGCACGGUAAACGAUGGACACCCGCUGUCGGCGAUACACUGUCGGCGGCCAAGCGAAAGCGUUAAGUGUCCCACCUGGGGAGUACGCCGGCAACGGUGAAACUCAAAGGAAUUGACGGGGGCCCGCACAAGCGGAGGAACAUGUGGUUUAAUUCGAUGAUACGCGAGGAACCUUACCCGGGCUUGAAUUGCUCCUGAAUAAUCCGGAAACGGAUUAGCCGCAAGGCAGGAGUGAAGGUGCUGCAUGGUUGU
rnacentral:rRNA from 1 species